rnacentral:rRNA from 1 species
AUUGAACGCUGGCGGCGUGCUUAACACAUGCAAGUCGAGCGGUAACAGGCGUAGCAAUACGUGCUGACGAGCGGCGAACGGGUGCGUAAUACAUCGGAAUCUGCCUAGUAGUGGGGAAUAACCCGGCGAAAGCCGGGCUAAUGCCGCAUACGAUCCACGGAUGAAAGCGGGGGACUUUCGGGCCUCGCGCUAUUAGAUGAGCCGAUGUCGGAUUAGCUAGUUGGGAGGUAACGGCUCACCAAGGCGACGAUCCGUAGCUGGUCUGAGAGGACGGCCAGCCACACUGGGACUGAGACACGGCCCAGACUCCUACGGGAGGCAGCAGUGGGGAAUAUUGGACAAUGGGGGAAACCCUGACCCAGCGACGCCGCGUGUGUGAAGAAGGCCUGC